rnacentral:rRNA from 1 species
CAAGUCGAACGGGAAUUACUUUAUUGAAACUUCGGUCGAUUUAAUUUAAUUCUAGUGGCGGACGGGUGAGUAACGCGUGGGUAACCUGCCUUAUACAGGGGGAUAACAGUCAGAAAUGGCUGCUAAUACCGCAUAAGCGCACAGAGCUGCAUGGCUCGGUGUGAAAAACUCCGGUGGUAUAAGAUGGACCCGCGUUGGAUUAGCUUGUUGGCGGGGUAACGGCCCACCAAGGCGACAAUCCAUAGCCGGCCUGAGAGGGUGAACGGCCACAUUGGGACUGAGACACGGCCCAGACUCCUACGGGAGGCAGCAGUGGGGAAUAUUGCACAAUGGGGGAAACCCUGAUGCAGCGACGCCGCGUGAAAGAAGAAGUAUCUCGGUAUGCAAACUUCUAUCAGCAGGGAAGAUAGUGACGGUACCUGACUAAGAAGCCCCGGCUAACUACGCGCCAGCAGCCGCGGUAAUACGUAGGGGGCAAGCGUUAUCCGGAUUUACUGGGUGUAAAGGGAGCGUAGACGGUGUGGCAAGUCUGAUGUGAAAGGCAUGGGCUCAACCUGUGGACUGCAUUGGAAACUGUCAUGCUUGAGUGCCGGAGGGGUAAGCGGAAUUCCUAGUGUAGCGGUGAAAUGCGUAGAUAUUAGGAGGAACACCAGUGGCGAAGGCGGCUUACUG